GGAUGUGAGGGCGAUCUGUCACCCCAUUGAUCGCCAGGGUUGAUUUAGCUUAUCUGGCUAGCUGGGCGGAUGUUGGAUGUCCCCGUCCUCCCUCAAUGACACUCCAUGUGUCCCUCCUGAAGCUGUACACUCAGAGGACAGGACCUUCAGGACCAGUCUUUGGUCAAGGGUAUGAGAAGCUGUGCUCCUGUUAGAAUCUCCAGACAAGCAAAACCUACACCUCUUACCUACAACUUUUUGGACCCCAAAGUUAGUU
rnacentral:snRNA from 1 species